UACGGAUGGUGCAAGCGUUGUCCGGAAUCACUGGGCGUAAAGGGCGCGUAGGCGGCCCGGUAAGUAGGGGGUGAAAUCCUGCGGCUUAACCGCAGGGCUGCCUUCUAAACUGUCGGGCUCGAGCACGGUAGAGGCAGAUGGAAUUCCCGGUGUAGCGGUGGAAUGCGUAGAGAUCGGGAAGAACAUCAGUGGCGAAGGCGGUCUGCUGGGCCGUUGCUGACGCUGAGGCGCGACAGCGUGGGGAGCAAACAGG
rnacentral:rRNA from 1 species